UUUGGGAAUCCAAGAUUCAAGUUUAGUGGAAUGCUUAUGAUGAAUAGACAACACCCUAGCGAGUCUAGAAUGCUUGGAAUCACAAGAAAUGGAUGAGAAAUGAGAGAGAUAUGUUCUUGAAAUGCAGAGAAAAGAGAGAAGAAGGCGAACUCUCGGUUUUGGCUCGGGAUGGAGGCUGGUAUGGGUGGUGUCGCGCUUUCCAG
rnacentral:lncRNA from 1 species